UGGCGGCACGCCUAACACAUGCAAGGCGAGCGCAGUAGCAAUACUGAGUGGCAAACGGGUGAGUAUAAUGUGGGAAUCUGCCUUUUGGUUCGGAAUAACACGAGGAAACUUGUGCUAAUACCGGAUAAGCCCUUACGGGGAAAGUUUUAAUGCCAAAAGAUGAGCCCGCACUUGAUUAGCUAGUUGGUAAGGUAAUGGCUUACCAAGGCAACGAUCAAUAGCUGUUCUUAGAGGAAGACCAGCCACAUUGGGACUGAGACACGGCCCAAACUCC
rnacentral:rRNA from 2 species